GGGGGUAUAGCUCAGGGGCAGAGCAUUUGACUGCAGAUCAAGAGGUCCCCGGUUCAAAUCCGGGUGCCCCCU
rfam:Erinaceus europaeus unplaced genomic scaffold scaffold01780, whole genome shotgun sequence